rnacentral:rRNA from 1 species
CAGCCGCCGCGGGAAUACGAAGGGGGCUAGCGUUGCUCGGAAUGACUGGGCGUAAAGGGCGCGUAGGCGGUUCGUACAGUCAGAUGUGAAAUUCCUGGGCUUAACCUGGGGGCUGCAUUUGAUACGCGUAGUCUAGAGUGUGAAAGAGGGUCGUGGAAUUCCCAGUGUAGAGGUGAAAUUCGUAGAUAUUGGGAAGAACACCGGUGGCGAAGGCGGCGACCUGGUUCAUAACUGACGCUGAGGCGCGAAAGCGUGGGGAGCAAACAGGAUUAGAUACCCCCGUAGUCCCUGUCUCUUAUAC